CAACUUCGAGGCAGCGCACUCCUCCUCCCAGCGCGCCUUGAUGGGAUCGGCAACACUCCUCCUCCCGGUUGCCGAUCAGAACAGGCAACGCCCGUCGGAUCUCCUCCCCCGACGGGCGUUGUUU
rnacentral:sRNA from 1 species